rnacentral:rRNA from 1 species
CCUACGGGUGGCUGCAGUGGGGAAUAUUGGGCAAUGGGCGCAAGCCUGACCCAGCAACGCCGCGUGAAGGAAGAAGGCUUUCGGGUUGUAAACUUCUUUUCUCAGGGACGAAGAAAGUGACGGUACCUGAGGAAUAAGCCACGGCUAACUACGUGCCAGCAGCCGCGGUAAUACGUAGGUGGCAAGCGUUAUCCGGAUUUACUGGGUGUAAAGGGAGUGUAGGCGGGACUGCAAGUCAGAUGUGAAAACCACGGGCUCAACCUGUGGCCUGCAUUUGAAACUGUAGUUCUUGAGUACUGGAGAGGCAGACGGAAUUCCUAGUGUAGCGGUGAAAUGCGUAGAUAUUAGGAAGAACACCAGUGGCGAAGGCGGCUUGCUGGACAGUAACUGACGUUGAGGCUCGAAAGCGUGGGGAGCAAACAGGAUUAGAUACCCUAGUAGUC